UUUAGAUCAACAUCAUUAAAAAUUUAGCACCUCAUCUCACACGUUUGAACUGUGGUGUUAAUAAACAUAGACCUAUUCAGUUAAUGGAAUGUUAUCUCUUAAUUGAUAGAAGUGAUGUGUGUGUCCAAGUAUUUGGUAUGUUUACGGUUGAUCCAUCAAAUCUAUUUGUGAUUGGUACUUGGAUGAUUUCUUAUUUGGUGAUUAUGGUCUAGUUUGCACAAGGUGUGACCGUUUCUUCAUAUACUUGGGUUUUGAAAGAAC